UUAGUACUCCCUCCGUUUGAAAUUACUUGUCUCGAAUAUGGAUGUAUCUAAAACUAAAAUAUGUUUAGAUACAUUCAUUUCUACGACAAGUAAUUCCGAACGAAGGGAAUACAUA
rnacentral:pre_miRNA from 1 species